GCUGGGUGUGGUGACAUGCAUCUGUAGUCCCAGCUACUCCAGAGGCUGAGGCAGGAGGAUCACUUGAGCCCAGGAGUUUGAGGCUGCAGUGAGCCAUGAUGGUACCACUGCACUCCAGCCUGGGCAACAGAGUGAGACCCUAUCUCUU
rnacentral:sRNA from 1 species